rnacentral:rRNA from 1 species
UACGUAGGGAGCAAGCGUUGUCCGGAAUUAUUGGGCGUAAAGAGCUCGUAGGCGGUGUGUUACGUCGGCCGUGAAAACCUGCAGCUUAACUGUGGGCGUGCGGUCGAUACGGGCAUCACUGGAGUUCGGCAGGGGAGACUGGAAUUCCUGGUGUAGCGGUGAAAUGCGUAGAUAUCGUAAGGAAGACCAGUGGCGAAGGCGGGUCUCUGGACAGUUCCUGACGCUGAGGCACGAAGGUCAGGGGAGCAAACGGGAUUAG